GCCCAGCUUGUUGUCAAUCAAAUGCCGUCGCCGCUUCCCGCGCCAUUCGACGUGCACGCGCUGAAGGGAGCGCGCGCGUAGACUGUCUGGAGUGUGUCUGAAAUUGACAAAUAGGACACGGAGUUUUUUUUUGUUUGUUGUUUUUUUUUUUACCUUUUCCUCUAUUCUUGUGCGAGUCUUUCUACAGAGGACACCUGGCUGAUUGUAAGAUUUUAUUAAACCACCACCGGAGCCGUCGUCAUUGGAUAUAUUUUUUUUUUUGGCGGCGGUGAGGGGCAAAAGCGACGUGAAAGUUUUGGUGCGUCAGCAAAUUUCGCGGUGUGCGCAGACAGGACUGUCUGCGUGUUGCGUUCAGGGUUCACGGAGAGCAGCAGGAGCUCUGGAGCAAGGCAGCUGAGGAAGGAAAACGCCGGGGUGUUCGCUCGACCGGGACUGUCGGACUGCGUUGACCCGCCCCUCCAGCUGUGCAGAGAGCUGGUGUCGAGCUUGGAGGAAGAUGUCAUGCUCGUGAUGGCCUUUUUUACGGGGGGGGUGUGGGGUGGUGGUUGAAGAUGUGGCCACUGUUGCUGCAGCAGCACCAACUCCCACUUUGUCCCCCUCUCUGCCAGGAUGCCGAAUUACCAGAUGAUCGCCACCACGGUGAGGUGGAGCAGGGCGCGAGGAAGACCGACCGUGGCGAAGACAGGACAGCGUCCGCGCAAACAAAGACUAGCGGUUCAAGUAUGAAAAUGCAGAUAGGCCAUUGUUGUCGUCGGGGCGGAGGGGGACACGGCUGGGGAUUGUUCAAGGCUUUCUCUUGCAUAAUGUUUGGCUGCUUUGGCCGAUGUUUCCAUCUGAAUUUGAUCCUGCCGAGUGGGUGUUUGCGUGGCAAGGAGGAUUAUUGUGCCAUUCAAAAAUUUAAACCUUUUUGUUCCAAUGUUUUUUUUUGGGGGAUUUUUUUUCAUUGUAAUGAAGGUGAACAGACAAACAUAUGAAACUGUAUUUUUGUUGAUAAUCUCCAAGGUUUAUUUACUCUUGCAAUUUCCAGGAGGCAGUUAAUUACACAAUUAAUACAUGAUACAAAUUAUGUACACUUAUUGAGUUUUUUCUUCUUCUUUUACCAAAGGAUAGCAUCCAACAUAAAAUAAAAAUAGCAUUG